UGGCUCUUUAAAUCAUGAAAGGGUGUUAACUCUAUCCAUUAAAAUAAUCCACCCACUUUUACACACUCUCAUUUGCUUAAGUCUAAAACCGUCUCCAGCAACCAACCUAAACAUGUGAGUAAACAUACUCUCCAAAACACACAUAAUCUGUGAAUCGCUUGAGGCAAUUUAGAGCGCUGAUAUUGAUUGUGAGCUGCACAUCUGGAUACUCUUUCCAUAAAGUUUUAAACACUGGGGUUGUGAAGAGGUGACUCAGUAGCUCAUAUAAUAGCUGCGGAGGAUACAGCAGCUGCAAAAGACAUUCACAUGCUCCAACAACUUUAAUAAUGGACUCCUGUUCUGAGACUCCCAGGGUGUGUGGGGAAUUCCAGUCUCCGUGAGGCUGAACAUGUUUAAUCGGUAAUUUCUCCAAGAUCCUGACAGCUGUUCAAGAGGGGAGGAGCAGGAACAAGAGGCCCACCCUAAACUCACCCUGCCUGGACAGACAGCUGGGCGAGACCCUGGC
ensembl:lncRNA